AUUUAUCUAAUAUAAAUAAGUAUAUUUGACUUCCAAUCAAAAAGUUUGUCAAAGACAAGAUAAAUA
rnacentral:tRNA from 1 species